GGAGUCUGGGCCGUGUCUCAGUCCCAAUGUGGCCGUUCACCCUCUCAGGCCGGCUACUCAUCGUCGCCUUGGUGGUCCGUUACACCCCCAACUAGCUAAUGAGCCGCAAGCUCAUCCCGCAGCGUGGCCGUAGCCACUUUCUUGACAUAGUUCAAUCAUUGUCAUCUCAUCCGGUAUUACCCUGUGUUUCCACAGGCUAUCCCCAACUGCAGGGCAGAUCACUUACGUGUUACUCACCCGUUCGCCACUCUAGGAUGCCCGAAGGCAUCUUGCCGUCCGACUUGCAUGCUUAAGACGCGCCGCCAGCGUUCGUU
rnacentral:rRNA from 1 species